rnacentral:rRNA from 1 species
AACCCUUGUCCUUAGUUACCAGCACGUUAUGGUGGGCACUCUAAGGAGACUGCCGGUGACAACCGGAGGAAGGUGGGGAUGACGUCAAGUCAUCAUGGCCCUUACGGCCUGGGCUACACACGUGCUACAAUGGUCGGUACAAAGGGUUGCCAGGCCGCGAGGUGGAGCUAAUCCCAUAAAACCGAUCGUAGUCCGGAUCGCAGUCUGCAACUCGACUGCGUGAAGUCGGAAUCGCUAGUAAUCGUGAAUCAGAAUGUCACGGUGAAUACGUUCCCGGGCCUU